AUUGGCUAAAUUUGUGCCAGCAGCUGCGGUUACACAAAGAAUACAAAUAAAUUUUAUAAAUAUGUAAGUUAAAUUGAAUUUAUUUAAUUAAUAAAAAAGAGUUAGGUGAAAUUUUAUUUUUUUUUAAUUAAUAUAAAAAAUUAUAUUGAAUCUUGAAAAUUUUAAUUUUAAACUAGGAUUAGAUACCCUAUUAUUUAAUAAUUUAUAAAUUAGGGAUUAGAGUAGUAAUAGUUAUGAUCUUGAAACUCAAAGAAUUUGGCGGUAUUUUAGUCUAUUCAGAGGAACCUGUAAUAUAAUCGAUAAUCCACGAUGGAUCUUACUUAAUUUUGUUAUUUAAUUUGUAUAUCGCCGUUAUUUGAAAAUUUUAUAAGAAAAAUAAUUUUCUAAAAUUUUUAUUAAAAAAUAAAUCAGGUCAAGGUGCAGUUUAUAAUUAAGUUUUAUAUGGGUUACAAUAAAUUUAUUUAAACGGAUUAUAAAAUGAAAUAUUUUUAAGAAGGUGGAUUUGAUAGUAAAUUUUUAAAGAUAAAAAAAUUGAUUUUAGCU
rnacentral:rRNA from 1 species